GACGAACGCUGGCGGCGUGCCUAAUACAUGCAAGUCGAACGAGAGCGACCGGUGCUUGCACUGGUCAAUCUAGUGGCGAACGGGUGAGUAACACGUGGGUAACCUGCCCAUCAGAGGGGGAUAACAUCCGGAAACGGAUGCUAAAACCGCAUAGGUCUUCGAGCCGCAUGGCUUGAAGAGGAAAAGAGGCGCAAGCUUCUGCUGAUGGAUGGACCCGCGGUGCAUUAGCUAGUUGGUGAGGUAACGGCUCACCAAGGCCGUGAUGCAUAGCCGACCUGAGGGGGUGAUCGGCCACAUUGGGACUGAGACACGGCCCAAACUCCUACGGGAGGCAGCAGUAGGGAAUCUUCCGCAAUGGACGCAAGUCUGACGGAGCAGCGCCGCGUGAGUGAAGAAGGUUUUCGGAUCGUAAAACUCUGUUGUUAGAGAAGAACAAGUGCUAGAGUAACUGUUAGCGCCUUGACGGUAUCUAACCAGAAAGCCACGGCUAACUACGUG
rnacentral:rRNA from 1 species